rnacentral:tRNA from 1 species
GCCUCUGUGUCCGAGUGGUCAAGGAGCUGGUCUGCAAAACCAGUGUUCGCCGGUUCGAUUCCGGCCGGAGGCUC